rnacentral:rRNA from 1 species
GACGAACGCUGGCGGCGUGCUUAACACAUGCAAGUCGAACGAUGAAGCCCAGCUUGCUGGGUGGAAGAGUGGCGAACGGGUGAGUAACACGUGAGUAACCUGCCCUUCACUCUGGGAUAAGCGCUGGAAACGGUGUCUAAUACUGGAUACGACCCUUACAGGCAUCUGUUGGGGGUGGAAAGAUUUAUCGGUGAAGGAUGGGCUCGCGGCCUAUCAGGUAGUUGGUGAGGUAACGGCUCACCAAGCCGACGACGGGUAGCCGGCCUGAGAGGGUGACCGGCCACACUGGGACUGAGACACGGCCCAGACUCCUACGGGAGGCAGCAGUGGGGAAUAUUGCACAAUGGGCGAAAGCCUGAUGCAGCAACGCCGCGUGAGGGAUGACGGCCUUCGGGUUGUAAACCUCUUUUAGUAGGGAAGAAGCGUAAGUGACGGUACCUGCAGAAAAAGCACCGGCUAACUACGUG